rnacentral:rRNA from 1 species
UACGUAGGGUGCAAGCGUUGUCCGGAAUUAUUGGGCGUAAAGAGCUCGUAGGCGGUCUGUCGCGUCUGCUGUGAAAACUCAGGGCUUAACCCUGAGCUUGCAGUGGGUACGGGCAGACUAGAGUGCGGUAGGGGAGACUGGAAUUCCUGGGUGUAGCGGUGAAAUGCGCAGAUAGUCAGGAGGAACACCGGUGGCGAAGGCGGGUCUCUGGGCCGUAACUGACGC